GAAAGACCAAAGAGUAACAAGGCACAGCCAGGAGAGGAAGAAAAAUCACCCAUUUAAGAAGACCAAACUUUGCCCCUGAAGGUGUCUGUAACCACCACAAAUCGCUGUGGUCAAGCACUGAACAACACAGCAAGAUCCAUGUGCAAGAGGAAAGAGGACAAAUUGCUCACUCCAGCUUCCAUCAAGUCGAGGCAAGCACGGAGUGAGAUUUCCACUGUCCACUAGAUGGCAAAUGGUUCCAGCAGCCUCGGGAGCCGGGGUUUUCCGAUGGCAGUCGGGACCCAGGUGGUGUCACUGGAGCUGCCCAGAGAGUUUCCUGAAGUUUAACACCCACAUGAAUACCAAAGCACCACAAAAUAACUGCAUGAUGAGAGAAAGAAUUUCAAAAAUGUAAAAUUAAAACUUUCUCUUGACCUUUUUCUGCCAAACUGUUCUGUGAAGGGAGUGAGAUAAGAAGCCUGCGGAGUCCAAACCCCUGGGAUUAAACAGCA
rnacentral:lncRNA from 1 species